rnacentral:miRNA from 1 species
UGUGGUCUCUGCGCAGGACA